CGCAGGCUCCUCCCGCGGGCGGGGCCUCCGGGCCACCCCGCUGCGGCGCAGGUGUUGCUGUCCGGGGUCCGAGGGCUGCCUAGUGGUGCCGCCUACUCCGCCGCCCCGGCCGGGCUGAGCCGGCAAGGGGAAGCCGCAGCGGGGUUGCGGUCGGCGCCGCUGAAGGGAGCUCGCAGCGGCCUCCUCGGCUGCCUCGUGCCCUGUCCUGAAAGGUCCCGGGACCCCGAGGAGCGGAGGAGAGAGCCGCCUCUGCCAACGCAGAUUCGGGGUCAGCACGUGGGGUGCCGUGAACCGAGCGCUCAAGCCCCAGUGUUACACCGGCAGGAGGGUGCGGGGGAGCCCCGAGUCCGGGAGAGGGCCGGUCCCCCUGUUCUGGGGUCUCCCCUCGGCCACCCCGCACAGUCGUCUGGAUGCCCGGGUCAGGAAACCCCUGUGCACCUCCCCGAGUCAAUUUCCGAGAAGGCUCCCAGGAUAUUGGCCACCAAGCCUUUACUCUCAAUACAGAAAUUUUAGAAGAUUCUUUUCUGGAGAAUCUGGCAGCUCCCGAGAUACAGGCAUAAAAGCUUCCCCCAAGAAAUGGCCCAUGCCGAUUAUCCUGCAGUGAACCCCAAACUCUGAAAGUCCUAAAGACCAUGUGCUUAGACCUACCAGCUUUUUAAUCUCUGUCUCUUAAUCGUGAGCAGACCACCAAGGAUUAUCCAUACAUCCGAGAAACAAAUGAACAAAAAGAAGCAUUGUUGGAGAAAACAGGUCAUGCAAAGAGAUGAAAUUUGAAAACAAAUGCUAGUAUUCUCAGGUAAAUAGAUACUGUAUCCAUGAAUCAAAACCAGGAUGACCUUUUUUGUAAGAAACUUCAGAAAAUAAGGGACUUCCCUGGAGGUCCAAUGUUAAAGAAUCUGCCUUGCAAUGCAGGGCAUGAGGGUUAGAUGCUUGGUCAAGGAACUAAGAUCCCACAUGUCGCGGUGCAACUAAGCCCUUGCGCCACAACAACUGAGCCUGCGCUCUAGAGCCCGCGAGCCACAACUACUGAAUCCUCAUGCCACAACUACUGAAGCCCACGCUCCUAGAGCCCAUGCUCCGCAACAAGAGAAGCCACCGUGAUGAGAAGCCCACGCACCACAGCGAAGGGUAGCCCCUGCUCGCUGCAACUAGAGAAAGCCUGCAGUGAAGCCUGAAAUGAAGACCCAACGCAGCCAAAAAUAAAACAAAUAAAAGAAAUAAAUUUAUUUUUUAAAAAAUGUUUUGGGACUUCCCUGGUGGUCCAGUGCUUAAGACUCUACGCUCUCGAGGCAGGGGGCCUGGGUUCAUCCCUGGUCGGGGAACUAGAUCGCGCAUGCAUGCCACAACUAAGAGUCCGCAUGCCACAACUAAAAGAACCUGCAUGCUGCAACUAAGACCCAGUGCAGCCUAGAUAAAUAAAUAAAUAUUUCGGAAAAUAAGUGUGUUGAAUGAAGGAGAACAGUGGAGAAAUACUUUCAAAAUUCUGAGGAAAUACUUCUUCCAGCCUGUAACUAAACCCACGCCAAAUAUCAAUCCAGUAUGAGAGCAGAAUAAAGACAUUUUUGGACAUGGGAUUUACCCUCCCUGUGCCCUCUCUCAGGAAGCAAUGAGAGGAUAUGUCCACCAAAAGAAGAGAGUAACCAUAGAAAGGCAAACAGUACAGGAAAUAGGAGACCUAACGCUGGGAGAGAGACAUGGGAAGCCCCUAGGAAGACGUGAAAAGAGAUCCCAGGAUGAAUAGCUCUGCAUCUGAUGUAAAGGACAACCAGUUCAGAUGGGAGCAGCCUCCGAGAUGCCCACUGCCAUUGUAGUACCAUUUUGCCUGAGAACGAAGUGCUCUGGUUAUCUUGACCCAGAUUGUUAUCUGUACUUGGCUGCCUGGACCAUGCACUGAUGAAGUUCCCGC
rnacentral:lncRNA from 1 species